AGAGUUUGAUCAUGGCUCAGGACGAACGCUGGCGGCGUGCCUAAUACAUGCAAGUUGAGCGCUGAAGGUUGGUACUUGUACCGACUGGAUGAGCAGCGAACGGGUGAGUAACGCGUGGGGAAUCUGCCUUUGAGCGGGGGACAACAUUUGGAAACGAAUGCUAAUACCGCAUAAAAACUUUAAACACAAGUUUUAAGUUUGAAAGAUGCAAUUGCAUCACUCAAAGAUGAUCCCGCGUUGUAUUAGCUAGUUGGUGAGGUAAAGGCUCACCAAGGCGAUGAUACAUAGCCGACCUGAGAGGGUGAUCGGCCACAUUGGGACUGAGACACGGCCCAAACUCCUACGGGAGGCAGCAGUAGGGAAUCUUCGGCAAUGGACGAAAGUCUGACCGAGCAACGCCGCGUGAGUGAAGAAGGUUUUCGGAUCGUAAAACUCUGUUGGUAGAGAAGAACGUUGGUGAGAGUGGAAAGCUCAUCAAGUGACGGUAACUACCCAGAAAGGGACGGCUAACUACGUGCCAGCAGCCGCGGUAAUACGUGGGUCCCGAGCGUUGUCCGGAUUUAUUGGGCGUAAAGCGAGCGCAGGUGGAUUAUUAAGUCUGGUGUAAAAGGCAGUGGCUCAACCAUUGUAUGCAUUGGAAACUGGUAGACUUGAGUGCAGGAGAGGAGAGUGGAAUUCCAUGUGUAGCGGUGAAAUGCGUAGAUAUAUGGAGGAACACCGGUGGCGAAAGCGGCUCUCUGGCCUGUAACUGACACUGAGGCUCGAAAGCGUGGGGAGCAAACAGGAUUAGAUACCCUGGUAGUCC
rnacentral:rRNA from 1 species